GUCAUCGAAGAAAGAAAAAACCGUCGGAAGAAGUGCACCACUGAGAAAAGCAUGCGCCCAUAGUUCACAGUCUUUAAGCACCCAUAGUUUUGCAAAAAACAAAAAGAAAAAGCCUCAACUUACCUUUCUCCCUUCUCUGAUUCUAAUUCUCAAAGUUCCAGUAAAACCACAGGAAAGAGAAAAGGUCUUCGAUUUUCGAAAAGGCAAUGGAUUCAGUGUUCGCCGCCGUUGUUCAAGCUCCUGAAGAUCCCAUCCUAGGGGUUACUGUUGCUUACAACAAGGAUCCAAACCCGAUCAAGUUGAAUUUAGGCGUUGGUGCUUACAGAACGGAGGAAGGAAAACCUUUGGUUCUAAAUGUCGUUCGAAAAGCGGAACAGCUUCUUGUUAAUGACCGGUCAAGAGUGAAGGAAUAUCUUCCUAUUCUUGGUUUAGCAGAGUUCAAUAAAUUGAGUGCUAAGCUUAUUCUUGGUGAUGACAGUCCUGCUAUCCAAGAGAACAGAGUUGCUACUGCUCAGUGCUUGUCUGGUACUGGUUCCUUGAGGGUUGGAGCUGAGUUUCUAGCAAAGCAUUACCACCAACGUACUAUAUACAUUCCACUGCCAUCAUGGGGAAACCAUUUGAAAGUUUUCACAAUGGCAGGUUUGUCAGUGAACGCUUAUCGCUACUAUGAUCCAGCAACUCGUGGGCUCAAUAUCCAAGGCUUGCUAGAAGAUCUUGGCGCAGCACCAUCUGGAGCUAUAGUGCUUCUUCAUGCGUGUGCUCAUAACCCAACUGGUGUUGACCCUGCUCCUGAGCAAUGGGAACAGAUUCGGCAGUUGAUAAGAUCUAAAGCAUUAUUGCCUUUCUUUGACUGUGCUUACCAGGGAUUCGCAAGCGGUAGCUUAGAUGCAGAUGCACUGGCCGUUCGAAUGUUUGUUGCAGAUGGUGGGGAAUGCCUUAUAGCUCAGAGUUAUGCAAAAAACAUGGGACUUUAUGGAGAGCGUGUUGGUGCUCUCAGCAUUGUCUGUAAGGGGGCUGAUGUUGCAAGCAGGGUUGAGAGCCAGUUGAAGCUUGUGAUUAGGCCUAUGUAUUCUAAUCCACCUAUUCAUGGUGCAUCAAUCGCAGCCACCAUUCUCAAGAAUAGUGAUAUGUAUAAUGAGUGGAAGAUUGAACUGAAAGCGAUGGCAGACCGAAUUAUUAGCAUGCGCAAACAACUAUAUGAUGCUUUAAGCGCUAGAGGCACUGCAGGUGACUGGAGUCACAUUAUCAAGCAGAUUGGAAUGUUCACUUUCACAGGGUUGAACAGUGAUCAAGUUGCGUUCAUGACCAAAGAGUACCACAUUUACAUGACAUCUGAUGGGAGGAUUAGUAUGGCAGGUCUUAGUUCCAAGACUGUUCCUCAUCUUGCUGAUGCUAUACAUGCUGCAGUCACCUUGCCUGUUAGAAGCAAAUUUGAAAUUUAUGUAGCAAGUAUUUUUGGUUUUUAGUCCAUCUCCGGUUGUAGAGCAAACCAAAAGUUUCAUUGCACAUUGAAGGCAAAAGCUGCAUACCUAAACCAGAUGAUUGACAGUAAGUAGAGAUGAAGACUGCCUGAAAGCAGUUCCCGAAUGCUGAUAUCUUAAGUUAAUGUAUUCACUUUCCUGUCCAAAUUCGGGAAAAAGAAGAAUGCAAAGUUCUAGAAAGUUACUACCCCAAUGGAUUCCUACAUGGGGCUGAAUAUAUACACAAGAUGGGAAGCUUUUUUUGGGGUGGAGCUAAGUGGAGGCUUGGACGUUUUUUUAUCAUGAUCACCCUUAAAGUAGAUUUCUAGAUCACUUGAAUUACUCUUUGCGGAAGCAAUAUCCCAUCCCAUGAAAUCUGAGAGUGUUGGUGUCUCUGAUGUGCUCAUCCUGGCUGCAUCUUCCUCGUUGCUUGAGGAGUUUUCAGAGCUUGCUGGUGAUGCUGAUGAUGUUUGAGUAAGGGAGUCAGCGUAAAGGACAUCCUCAAUUCUUGACAUGACUGUGAAAGCCAAGCUCUCUAGAAUCCUAGAAUAGCUCUCCAGAAUAGCGUGUCCUACAUCCUGUGUAGUUCAAAGAUUGCGGAAGUCCCGGAAAGUGCUGCUUUAGUAGGAGUAAGAUAGUCUCUGCCCUCUCUUCAAAGAGUUCUCUCUUUUCCAUGCUGACAGCUGAACUCCAAGAAGACCUUCCAUCUUU